rnacentral:rRNA from 1 species
CCUACGGGUGGCAGCAGUGGGGAAUAUUGCACAAUGGGGGAAACCCUGAUGCAGCGACGCCGCGUGAGUGAAGAAGUAAUUCGUUACGUAAAGCUCUAUCAGCAGGGAAGAAACACUGACCUUACGGUCAGCAGACGGUACCUGAGUAAGAAGCCACGGCUAACUACGUGCCAGCAGCCGCGGUAAUACGUAGGGGGCAAGCGUUAGCCGGAUUUACUGGGUGUAAAGGGAGCGUAGACGGUGGGCCAAGUCUGGAGUGAAAUGCCGCAGCUUAACUGCGGAACUGCUUUGGAAACUGGCGAACUAGAGUGCGGGAGGGGUAAGCGGAAUUCCUAGUGUAGCGGUGAAAUGCGUAGAUAUUAGGAGGAACACCGGUGGCGAAGGCGGCUUACUGGACCGUAACUGACGUUGAGGCUCGAAAGCGUGGGGAGCAAACAGGAUUAGAUACCCGAGUAGUC